rnacentral:miRNA from 1 species
UAGCCCUUACCCCACCGAUUAAU